GACGAACGCUGGCGGCGUGCUUAACACAUGCAAGUCGAACGGAAAGGCCUCUUCGGAGGUACUCGAGUGGCGAACGGGUGAGUAACACGUGGGCAAUCUGCCCUGCACUUCGGGAUAAGCCUGGGAAACUGGGUCUAAUACCGAAUAGGACCACUUGGCGCAUGCCUUGUGGUGGAAAGCUUUUGCGGUGUGGGAUGGGCCCGCGGCCUAUCAGCUAGUUGGUGGGGUGAUGGCCUACCAAGGCGACGACGGGUAGCCGGCCUGAGAGGGUGUCCGGCCACACUGGGACUGAGAUACGGCCCAGACUCCUACGGGAGGCAGCAGUGGGGAAUAUUGCACAAUGGGCGCAAGCCUGAUGCAGCGACGCCGCGUGGGGGAUGACGGCCUUCGGGUUGUAAACCUCUUUCACCAUCGACGAAGGUCCGGGUCUUCUCGGAUUGACGGUAGGUGGAGAAGAAGCACCGGCCAACUACG
rnacentral:rRNA from 1 species